UACGUAGGGACCGAGCGUUGUCCGGAUUCAUUGGGCGUAAAGAGCUCGUAGGCGGCUGUUCAAGUCGAACGUGAAAACUCGGAGCUCAACUCCGAGCCUGCGUUCGAUACUGGACGGCUAGAGUCUGGUAGGGGGAUCUGGAAUUCCUGGUGUAGCGGUGGAAUGCGCAGAUAUCAGGAGGAACACCGGUGGCGAAGGCGGGAUCCUGGGCCAGUACUGACGCUGAGGAGCGAAAAGCGUGGGGAGCAAACAGG
rnacentral:rRNA from 1 species